rnacentral:tRNA from 1 species
GCGCUCGUAGCUCAGAGGAUGAGAGCAAAUGGUUUCUACCCAUUAGGUCAAGGGUUCGAAUCCCUCCGGGCGCU